rnacentral:lncRNA from 1 species
GUAGGAAGCGUGGCGCCUCAGCCACAAUCGUAAUCACCUUUAAUCUCUUGCUCAAAAUAACCCAAAGUCAAGCUGACCCUCGGUCUAUCUUGAGGCCCUCGGCUGCCCCCGACUUGAAGAUUCUCCCCCGUUGCGUCUAAGUGGCUGCUCCAAGUUCCCGUCCCCGCUGGCAUCUCCCUGCCUCACCAUCCGCCACAUUCCUACACCAAAAGUUGACGCCGCAUUCUGGACUCCUCUCUUUCCUCCCCCCACACCUGGUCCAACUCCAGCAGCAUCUAAUCCACCUGCAGAAGCAUCUGGAAUCACUCCACUCCCACCACGACCGCCCAAACCCACCUCCAGCGGGGACGACGCCCAAGGUACCACCUGGUCUCCUGGCACCCACAAUCCAUUCUCCCUCCACAGCCAGAGGGAGCCUCGCUAACCACCAAGGCGGUCCUGCGGCCCCGCGCAGCCCUGAGGGCGUCCAGUCCUCCACGCGUGGAGGAGAAUCCGGCCUCCAGACACAAUCUCCAGGGCCCACUGGAUGGGCCUCCGCUCCUUCUCACUCCCAGUCCUCUGGUGCAUGCCCCCUUCCUGGCUGAAGAACCUGCACCAGCCGCCCCUCCGCCUGGGAAGCUCCCUCCUGUCAUUCACUCCGAGACGCAGCAGCGUUGCCCCAAGAGCCCUCCCUGCUCUGCACCCCGAAUUCACUCUCAGCCCCCACCUAGUUUAAAUCCUGGCCCUUCUCUCUCC